rnacentral:misc_RNA from 1 species
CGCACCUUGCGCUCGUUGGUAUUCCGACGAGCAUGCCUGUUUGAGUGUCAUUAAAUUCUCAACCUCACCACUUUUGUAAUGAGAGUGUGUGUUGGCUUGGAUGUGGGGGUUUGCAGGUCCACUCUUUUGUGGUCUGCUCCUCUGAAAUGUAUUAGUGGGUUUGGUCCCCUAAUCUAUUGGUGUGAUAAUUAUCUACGCCGUGGAUUGGAAGACUAUUAUGAACCUGCUUCUAACCGUCCCUUACACGGACAAUACUUGACAUUUUUGACCUCAAAUCAGGUAAGACUACCCGCUGAACUUAA